rnacentral:tRNA from 1 species
ACGAGGAUGGCCGAGUGGUUAAGGCGUUGGACUCAAGUGCCAAUGUACAAAUGUACGCUUGGGUUCCAACCCAAGUCCUGGUA